rnacentral:rRNA from 1 species
UACGGGGGGGGCAAGCGUUGUUCGGAAUUACUGGGCGUAAAGGGCUCGUAGGUGGCCAACUAAGUCAGACGUGAAAUCCCUCAGCUUAACUGGGGAACUGCGUCUGAUACUGGAUGGCUUGAGUUUGGGAGAGGGAUGCGGAAUUCCAGGUGUAGCGGUGAAAUGCUUAGAUAUCUGGAGGAACACCAGUGGCGAAGGCGGUGUUCUGGGCCUGUACUGACGCUGAUGCGCGAAAGCGUGGGGAGCGAACAGG